rnacentral:rRNA from 1 species
GUAGACCUGGAUAACUCUCUGAAUGCUAGCAUUCAGGUAUGAGGAUUGACUUUCUGCCUCUUCUUACAUUUCCAGGCCUAUGUUCUUUCAUAUAACCUCAAUGUAUGUUAAGGAAUGUGUAAUACUUAUGGGCUUUUAUGCCUUUACAAACCUAUACAACUUUCAGCAACGGAUCUCUUGGCUCUCGCAUCGAUGAAGAACGCAGCGAAAUGCGAUAAGUAAUGUGAAUUGCAGAAUUCAGUGAAUCAUCGAAUCUUUGAACGCACCUUGCACUCCUUGGUAUUCCGAGGAGUAUGCCUGUUUGAGUGUCAUUAAUAUAUCAACCUCUCUCAAGCUUUUUUGCUUGUGGAGUGUCUGGAUGUGGGGGGAUUAUUUUGCUGGCCUCUUUUCUGAGGUCAGCUCCCCUGAAAUGCAUUGGCAGAAUAAUUUGCUCACUGUUCAUUGGUGUGAUAACU